rnacentral:rRNA from 1 species
AUUGAACGCUGGCGGCAGGCCUAACACAUGCAAGUCGAACGAGUGGCGGACGGGUGAGUAAUGUCUGGGAAACUGCCUGAUGGAGGGGGAUAACUACUGGAAACGGUAGCUAAUACCGCAUACCAUCGGAUGUGCCCAGAUGGGAUUAGCUAGUGGGGGGGGUAACGGCUCACCUAGGCGACGAUCCCUAGCUGGUCUGAGAGGAUGACCAGCCACACUGUAACUGCGACACGGUCCAGACUCCUACGGGAGGCAGCGGGGGGGAAUAUUGCACAGUGGGGGAACGUCUGAUGCAGCAACGUCGGGUGCGGGAUGACGGCAUUCGGGUUGUAAACCGCUUUCAGCCAUGACGCGGUAGUGGCAGAAGAAGCACCGGCUAACUACGUGCCAGCAGCCGCGGUAAUAC